UACGUAGGGUGCGAGCGUUAAUCGGAAUUACUGGGCGUAAAGCGUGCGCAGGCGGUUAUGUAAGACAGAUGUGAAAUGCCCGGGCUUAACCUGGGAACUGCAUUUGUGACUGCAUGGCUAGAGUGUGUCAGAGGGGGGUAGAAUUCCACGUGUAGCAGUGAAAUGCGUAGAGAUGUGGAGGAACACCGAUGGCGAAGGCAGCCCCCUGGGUCAAGAUUGACGCUCAUGCACGAAAGCGUGGGGAGCAAACAGG
rnacentral:rRNA from 1 species